UGUGCUUCCCAACCAACAAACAAACAAACACAAAAAUACAUAAAUAAAAUAAAUAAAAAUAAAUCCAUAAAGGUGUUCAUCUGAUUUUUCUUCUUUCAAUAUGAUUUUUUCUCCUUUUUUAUUUGCUAUUUUUUUUCUUUUCAUGAAUUUAUUACUAUCUCUAUUGUUUACACAGGAAGAAGAAGAAGAAGAAGAAGAAGAAGAAGAAGAAGAAGAAAACACACAGAGAGAGAAGAGGAGGAAGAAGAAGAGGAAGGACUUGUAAUAUGGCAGACAUCAAACCAAUGAAUUGAACAGCUGAAUGGACUCCAUCUCUUGAGGGGCGGCUUCGUAUCCCAGCGUGAUCUCCUGCAAGGCAUCCCAGCACACACCACAUGCUCUGGAGGGGGAGAGAACGUCAAGAUGAAUCGGCCUUGUCUUGGAGGAAAUGUACUCUGUUUUGACUUUGCUCUCAAUAAACAUAGACCCUAAGA